rnacentral:rRNA from 1 species
UAUGUGAUCGUCUCUCGCAUAUCAAUAAGCGGAGGAAAAGAAACUAACAAUGAUUUCCCUAGUAACGGCGAGUGAAGAGGAAAGAGCUCAAAGUUGGAAACUGUUUGGCUUAGCUAAACCGUAUUGUAAACUGUAGAAACAUUUUCCUGGCACGCCGGAUUAAUAAGUCCUUUGGAACAAGGCAUCAUGGAGGGUGAGAAUCCCGUCUUUGAUCCGAGUAGUUGUCUUUUGUGAUAUGUUUUCAAAGAGUCAGGUUGUUUGGGAAUGCAGCCUAAAUUGGGUGGUAAAUCUCACCUAAAGCUAAAUAUUGGCGAGAAACCGAUAGCGAACAAGUACCGUGAGGGAAAGAUGAAAAGAACUUUGAAAAGAGAGUUAAACAGUACGUGAAAUUGUCAAAAGGGAAGCGUUUGACACCAGUGUUGUUUUUCUGAAAAUCAAUUAAAGAACUGUUUAUGCUAAGCUGUUUAGACUUUAUCAGCUAUCUGUUUAGUUUUGAGCUUUUCUUUAAUGCACUUUUCAGUUAACAAGUCAACAUCAAUUUCUUUUGCUGUAAAAAAGCUUGAGGAAGGUGGCUUGAGAUUCGUCUUAAGUGUUUAUAGCCUCUUGCCUAUGCAGUCGGAGAGAUUGAGGUCUGCAGCGUAGAUCCUUCGGGGCUAAAUGCAUUUGUGCUAAGUUAUAACAUUUUAUAGACAACUUGUUGACUAUGAUUUGUCUUGUAGCUUACUCGCUUAUGUUAUUUUACCUACGCUUAGGAUGUUGAAGUCAUCGUAUCGCGC